rnacentral:rRNA from 1 species
AUUGAACGCUGGCGGCAGGCCUAACACAUGCAAGUCGAGCGGCAGCGGGAAAGUAGCUUGCUACUUUUGCCGGCGAGCGGCGGACGGGUGAGUAAUGCCUGGGAAAUUGCCCAGUCGAGGGGGAUAACAGUUGGAAACGACUGCUAAUACCGCAUACGCCCUACGGGGGAAAGCAGGGGACCUUCGGGCCUUGAGCGAUUGGAUAUGCUCAGAUGGGAUUAGCUAGUUGGUGAGGUAAUGGCUCACCAAGGCGACGAUCCCUAGCUGGUCUGAGAGGGGGCACAACCAAACUGCAACUGAGACACGGUCCAGACUCCUACGGGUGGCAGCAGUGGGGAAUAUUGCCCAAUGGGGGAAACCCUGAUGCAGCCAUGCCGCGUGUGUGAAGAAGGCCUUCGGGUUGUAAAGCACUUUCAGCGAGGAGGAAAGGUUGAUGCCUAAUACGUAUCAACUGUGACGUUACGCGCAGAAGAAGCACCGGCUAACUCCGUGCCAGCAGCCGCGGUAA